CUCUGAACUGUAGUUGUGGCUAAUGCUGCUUAUGAUCCAAAAAUCUAAUUCAGCAGUGAAAAUAUAAGCUUCCAACCUCUAACCUGGAACAUUCUGUCUCAGAAAGGACAGUGUGUACACUUGAAUGGAAAGACCAGAUCCUGGUGCUUUCCCACAAGAAGUUGCUGAAUGUGGCUACCUGGAAGGACAACCAAAGAGGGCUGCCAGAGAGAAGGCCACUACCAAUUAGCCAAGCAACCUCAGCUACAUCAUCACAAGCAUCUGUAGUAUGGAGGUCUGGUAAACACGGUGUGGGCCUCUUCCUUCCCUGGAUGCCACCAUCAAGUGAGAUAUAGGUCGUUCACAUCACUGUGUGGACCUAGAAUUCCUCUGCAGGUCCUUUUACAGGAGUGGAGUCCCUCCCUCCAAGAGAGUUUUAUAGGUGGAAGAACAUGAAGGAUCUGAGGCUGUGCCAG
rnacentral:lncRNA from 1 species